GGUGGUUCUCGGGUGACACACCCCAGAAUUGGGCUCCCUCCUCUCUGGUUCUAGGUGUGCCAUCUGAGAACCACA
rfam:Myotis davidii contig319481, whole genome shotgun sequence.